rnacentral:tRNA from 1 species
GCCGGCAUAGCUCAACUGGCAGAGCAGCGGAAUCGUAAUCCGCAGGUUGUCCGUUCAACUCGGAUUGCCGGCUCCA